GACGAACGCUGGCGGCGUGCUUAACACAUGCAAGUCGAACGGUGAUGGGUGGAGCUUGCCCUGCUUUGAUCAGUGGCGAACGGGUGAGUAACACGUGAGUAACCUGCCCCAGACGCUGGAAUAGCUCCGGGAAACCGGGAUUAAUACCGCAUAUGACCUCGCGAGGGCAUCCGAGGGUGGGGAAAGCUGAGGCGAUAGAAGAUGGGCAUGCGUGCCAUUAGCUAGAAGGCGGGGUAACGGUCCACCAUGGCGACGAUGGCUAGGGGUUCUGAGAGGAUGGUCCCCCACACUGGUACUGAGACACGGACCAAACUCCUACGGGAGGCAGCAGUAGGGAAUAUUGGGCAAUGGAAGAGAUUCUGACCCAGCCAUGCCGCGUGCAGGAAGAAGGCCUUCUGGGUUGUAAACUGCUUUUACCAGGGAAGAAAACGCCCCUGCGGGGGUAACUGACGGUACCUGGUGAAUAAGCACCGGCUAACUCCGUGCCAGCAGCCGCGGUAAAAC
rnacentral:rRNA from 1 species